AAUGAACGUUGGCGGCGUGGAUUAGGCAUGCAAGUCGAGCGAGAACCGGUUUCGGCCGGGGACAGCGGCGAACGGCGUAGUAAUGCAUCGGAACGUACCCUCUGGUCGGGGAUAGCUACGGGAAACUGUAGGUAAUACCCGAUGAUCUCUGCGGAGCAAAGGUGAGAUUCCGCCGGAGGAGCGGCUGAUGUGAUAUUAGCUAGUUGGUGGGGUAAUGGCCUACCAAGGCGAUGAUGUCUAGGGGGUGUGAGAGUAUGGCCCCCACGACCGGAACUGAGAUACUGUCCGGACACCUACGGGUGGCUGCAGUCGAGAAUCUUCCGCAAUGGACGAAAGUCUGACGGAGCGACGCCGCGUGCGGGAUGAAGGCCCUUGGGUUGUAAACCGCUGUCAGAGGGGAUGAAAUCUUCGGAGGUACUCCUCCGAAGUUGACAGAGCCUCAAAGGAAGCACGGGCUGAGUACGUGCCAGCCGCCGCAGUAAGAC
rnacentral:rRNA from 1 species